GGGGGGGGCAAGCGUUUGUUCGGAAUUACUGGGCGUAAAGGGCGCGCAGGCGGCCUGGCAAGUCCUACGUGAAAUCCCACAGCUUAACUGUGGAACUGCGUGGGAUACUGCCAGGCUUGAGUCCGGGAGAGGAGAGUGGAAUUCCCAGUGUAGCGGUGAAAUGCGUAGAUAUUGGGAGGAACACCGGUGGCGAAGGCGGCUCUCUGGACCGGUACUGACGCUGAGGCGCGAAAGCUAGGGGAGCAAACGGGAUUAGAUACCCCGGUAGUCCUAGCCGUAAACUUUGAGCACUUUGUGUGGCGGGUAUCGACCCACUGCCGUGCAGAAGCUAACGCAUUAAGUGCUCCGCCGUGGGGAGUACGGUCGCAAGGCUG
rnacentral:rRNA from 1 species